ensembl:lncRNA
CAAGGUGUUCCAGCAGGCAGCUUUAACCUACUUAAUGUUGGUCUUUUGUACUUCAAACUAAAUGGUCUACUAGACCAUUUUCAAGUCCAAGACCACGCAAACUAAUUUUCCAUGCUAAAGCUCUGAGUAGGCACACAAAAGGACUAAGUGGGAUACACACAUUCAAGACUACAGACAACAUAUCAAUUGCUUAAGACCAAAAUCUGUUUACGGUAUACCAACCUCCCUGCAGGGUAAAACCAAAGAGGUGUUAGCUGAAAGAAAACAGAUGGUUAUUAAACCACUGAUCAGGUAAAGGAUAUUAAAACCAAUACAAGAACAAUUGAAAAUACCACUAUGAACAAUCAAGACAAUAAUCAAAGUUCUGGAGUGUGGAACAGAUUCAAAUAUUCCAAGAAGAGGAUGUAUUCGCAUAUGUCCCUGCACAUGGUGAAGAAGAUGGUGAUGGAAAAGAAUUGAAGGAUCACAGUUUCAGAUCUGCACAGUCUAGUGGAAUCAUGGGGUUAUGUCUCAAAGUCACCUGUUAGAUGAAAAAGUUACACAAAAGAAAUGCUUACAAAACCCUAACCCACACAUUGCAGUGACUGAACUUUAUCAAGCAUCACUGGAACUACAACUGGGAUCGUGUGUUGUGGUCAGAUGGGACCAAAAUGUAACUUGCACACCAAAAAAGGGACUGCAUACAAGGACAACACUUGACACCCACAGCAAAAUACAGUGCUGUAUCUUUGAUGCUUUGGGGCUGUAUUGCUACUAGUGGUCCAGGUGUGCCAACCUUGUCAGACUUUAAAGAAGAGAAUCAUCACGGUUACCCACUCCAACUGAGGCUUCACCAGAUAUUGAUUGUAGUGGUGCCAAUACUUUUGAAACCUAUGUUUUGCAACCAAAAAAAAUACAUACCACUCAAUGAAAUGUUUUGUGUUUGAG